CCCUACGUAGCUCCAUGUUGAUCCACGUUGACCCAUGUUGAUCACGUUGACCCAUGUUGGCCCCUACGUAGCUCCAUGUUGAUCCACGUUGACCCAUGUAGGCCCAUGAUGAUCUGCUGUCAGCCUACGUAGCUCCAUGUUGACCACGUUGACCUAUCUAUCUCUUUGCAGGUGAGAAACCCCACCAGUGCAGCAUCUGUUGGCGCUCCUUCUCUCUAA
rnacentral:lncRNA from 1 species